rnacentral:rRNA from 1 species
CAAGUCGAGCGAGAAAGUCUCUUCGGAGAUUAGUACAGCGGCGGACGGGUGAGUAAUGCGUAGGAACCUGCCCUUUGGUGAGGAAUACUCUUGAGAAAUCGAGAAUAAUACCGCAUAAGUCCCUACGGGGAGAAAGGCGGCUUUAAUGCUGUCAUCAAAGGAUGGGCUUGCGUGCUAUCAGCUAGUUGGUAGGGUAAAGGCCUACCAAGGCUAUGACGGCUAACCGGCCUGAGAGGGUGUACGGUCACACUGGAACUGAGACACGGUCCAGACUCCUACGGGAGGCAGCAGUGGGGAAUAUUGCGCAAUGGGCGAAAGCCUGACGCAGCGACGCCGCGUGGAGGAUGAAGGUCUUAGGAUUGUAAACUCCUGUUAAGCGGGAAGAAAAGCCUAUCAGUAAUAUGGGUAGGUUAUGACGGUACCGCUAGAGAAAGCACCGGCUAACUUCGUGCCAGCAGCCGCGGUAAUACGAGGGGUGCAAGCGUUAUUCGGAUUUACUGGGCGUAAAGGAUGUGUAGACGGUUUGCUAAGUCUGUUGUUAAAUACUCCGGCUUAACUGGAGAUCAGCAGUGGAAACUAGCAGACUAGAGGGUGGGAGAGAGAAGUGGAAUUCCCGGAGUAGCGGUAAAAUGCGUAGAUCUCGGGAGGAACACCGAUGGCGAAGGCAGCUUCUUGGCCCAUACCUGACGUUGAGACAUGAAAGCGUGGGGAGCAAACAGGAUUAGAUACCCUGGUAGUCCACGCUGUAAACGCUAAUCACUAGACGUUAGUCCAGCCCAGCUGGAUUAGUGUCGUAGCUAACGCGUUAAGUGAUUCGCCUGGGG